rnacentral:tRNA from 1 species
AGAUAUGUAAGCUAAUUUUAAGCUAUUGGACUCAUACUUCAGUUAUAGAUUUGAACUAUCUCUUAUCUA